CCUACGGGGGGCAGCAGUGGGGAAUAUUGCACAAUGGGGGAAACCCUGAUGCAGCGACGCCGCGUGAGUGAAGAAGUCUUUCCGUGUGGAAAGCUCUAUCAGCAGGGGAGAAAAUGACGGUACCUGAUUAAGAAGCCCCGGCUAACUACGUGCCAGUAGCCGCGGUAAUACGGAGGGGGCAAGCGGUAUCCGGAUUUACUGGGUGUAAAGGGAGCGUAGACGGCAGCACAAGUCUGGAGUGAAAUGCCGGGGCUUAACCCCGGAACCGCUGUGGAAACUGUGCAGCUAGAGUGCAGGAGAGGUAAGUGGAAUUCCUAGUGUAGCGGUGAAAUGCGUAGAUAUUACGAGGAACACCAGUUGCGAAGGCAGCUUACUGGACUGUAACUGACGUUGAGGCUCGAAAGCGUGGGGAGCAAACAGGAUUAGAUACCCUGGUAGUC
rnacentral:rRNA from 1 species